GAUGAAAACGCAGCGAAAUGCGAUAAGUAAUGUGAAUUGCAGAAUUCAGUGAAUCAUCGAAUCUUUGAACGCACCUUGCGCCCUUUGGCCAUUCCGAAGGGCAUGCCUGUUUGAGUAUCAUGAACACCUCAACUCUUUAUGGUUUUCCAUGAUGAGCUUGGACUCUGGGGGUUUUGCUGGCUCACAGUCGGCUCCUCUAAAAUAAAUCAGCUUACCAGUGUUUGGUGGGUAUCAUGGGUGUGAUAACUAUCUACGCUUGUGGUUUUUCCACCAGGUAACCUUCAGCAGUGGAGGUUCGCUGGAGCUCAUAGACGUCUCUCCUCAGUGAGGACAGCUCUUUGAACGUUUGAUCUCAAAUCAGGUAGGACUACCCGCUGAACUUAAGCAUAUCAAUAAGCGGAGGA
rnacentral:misc_RNA from 1 species